rnacentral:rRNA from 1 species
AGGAUAAACGCUGGCGGCAGGCCUAAUACAUGCAAGUCGAACGGACCCUUCGGGGUUAGUGGCGGACGGGUGAGUAACACGUGGGAACGUGCCCUUUGGUUCGGAACAACUCAGGGAAACUUGAGCUAAUACCGAAUGUGCCCCCAUCCUUAAACAAGAUGGGUGGGAAAGAUUUAUCGCCAUUGGAGCGGCCCGCGUCUGAUUAGCUAGUUGGUGGGUAAAGGCUCACCAAGGCGACGAUCAGUAGCUGGUCUGAGAGGAUGAUCAGCCACACUGGGACUGAGACACGGCCCAGACUCCUACGGGAGGCAGCAGUAGGGAAUCUUGCGCAAUGGGCGAAAGCCUGACGCAGCCAUGCCGCGUGAAUGAUGAAGGUCUUAGGAUUGUAAAAUUCUUUCAGUCGGGGACGAUAAUGACGGUACCCGCAGAAGAAGCCCCGGCUAACUUCGUGCCAGCCAGCCGC